rnacentral:rRNA from 1 species
ACGCUGGCGGCAGGCCUAACACAUGCAAGUCGAGCGGUAGCACGGGAGAGCUUGCUCUCUGGGUGACGAGCGGCGGACGGGUGAGUAAUGUCUGGGAAACUGCCUGAUGGAGGGGGAUAACUACUGGAAACGGUAGCUAAUACCGCAUGACCUCGCAAGAGCAAAGUGGGGGACCUUCGGGCCUCACGCCAUCGGAUGUGCCCAGAUGGGAUUAGCUAGUAGGUGGGGUAAUGGCUCACCUAGGCGACGAUCCCUAGCUGGUCUGAGAGGAUGACCAGCCACACUGGAACUGAGACACGGUCCAGACUCCUACGGGAGGCAGCAGUGGGGAAUAUUGCACAAUGGGCACAAGCCUGAUGCAGCCAUGCCGCGUGUGUGAAGAAGGCCUUAGGGUUGUAAAGCACUUUCAGCGAGGAGGAAGGCGCUGUAGUUAAUAGCUGCAGCGAUUGACGUUACUCGCAGAAGAAGCACCGGCUAACUCCGUGCCAGCAGCCGCGGUAAUACGGAGGGUGCAAGCGUUAAUCGGAAUUACUGGGCGUAAAGCGCACGCAGGCGGUUUGUUAAGUCAGAUGUGAAAUCCCCGAGCUUAACUUGGGAACUGCAUUUGAAACUGGCAAGCUAGAGUCUUGUAGAGGGGGGUAGAAUUCCAGGUGUAGCGGUGAAAUGCGUAGAGAUCUGGAGGAAUACCGGUGGCGAAGGCGGCCCCCUGGACAAAGACUGACGCUCAGGUGCGAAAGCGUGGGGAGCAAAC